rnacentral:lncRNA from 1 species
GUGGCUUGAAAUCCUCUCUAUUCUAUUGGAUGUUGCUGGGGGAGGAAACGUUAAGUCUAGGGGAGGGGGAGUUUGGUGAAGGUUAUGGAGUUUGGCUCAUCUCCUGUGGGUGGUGGUUAUCUGCACAGACUGUCCUGUUUUUUUCUCCUUCUUUUCAAGGUUGGAAUGGCCUUGCUCACCCACUUGGUUCUGCUGUCAUCUCAACUAAGCAAGCUAAACAAAUUUCUGCUGUCUGAGCCUGUGUGUGUGUGGGGCAAGUCUGACACUGGAUGGCUUUUUAGCUCAAAAUGGAGUAACUUUGGCCUUAGUAAAAAUGGAGAAACUUUGGCUCCUCAACAUGAUAAUUGGAGAGAGAAAAGUUCACGGAAGUCGCAUGAUAUCAGCGGUUCUCACAGACGUGCAUUAAUAUUACCAGGAGGCCAUGUUAAAGCACAGAUUGCAGGUCCUCACCCCAGAGUCCUUGCUUAACAGGUUUCAUCUGGAGCUCAAGAAUUUGCUUUUAACAAGAUCCCAGGUGAUGCUGGUGCUGCUUGAUUGGGACUCAUGAGACACUGGUCUCAUUCAGGACACUUCAAGAGUCACUGUCAGAAGCUUUACUUUUGGGCUGGGGAUUUAGCUCAGUGGCACCGUGCCUGCCUCACAAGUGCUAAGGGCCUGGUUCUAUCCU